GGUGUUGAAACUCAGAGGUAGAGUGCCCGCUUCGCAUGCGAGAAGACCGGAGUUCAAUCCUCCGAAAUUCCA
rnacentral:tRNA from 1 species